GAUGAACGCUAGCGGCAGGCUUAAUACAUGCAAGUCGAGGGGCAGCAGGACUGUAGCAAUACAGUUGCUGGCGACCGGCAAACGGGUGCGGAACACGUACGCAACCUACCCAAAACUGGGGGAUAGCCCGGGGAAACCCGGAUUAAUACCUCGUAACCUUUUUAAGUGGCAUCACUUGAUAAGUAUAGCUCCGGCGGUUUUGGAUGGGCGUGCGCCUGAUUAGGUAGUUGGUGCGGGUAACGGCCCACCAAGCCUGCGAUCAGUAACUGGUGUGAGAGGACGACCAGUCACACGGGCACUGAGACACGGGCCCGACUCCUACGGGAGGCAGCAGUAAGGAAUAUUGGUCAAUGGACGCAAGUCUGAACCAGCCAUGCCGCGUGAAGGAUGAAGGUCCUCUGGAUUGUAAACUUCUUUUAUGGGGGACGAAACCCGGAUAUUCUUAUCCGAUUGACGGUACCUCAGGAAUAAGCACCGGCUAACUCCGUG
rnacentral:rRNA from 1 species